AUGUACUGGUCCAGCACCCUGGUCUCUCCAUGAAUCCAAUAACAUAUAGUUUCAACAGCACAUUGCUUCAGCCUGGCUUUAGAGAUGCAGUUGCCCUCUUCUGGGGUAUAGCCUUUGUUAAUGAAGAGCUGAUUGCUACUGAUGAGGAUGGAGUGGGUUCAGUGUCAACAGAGAUACUUUUGGAAAAAGACUCAGAAUCGUUCACAUUCAAAAAUGGAUGGGCUUUCCCUAGAAGGGUAUAUUUCAAUGGAGAAAACUGUGAGAUGCCCUUACCAGACACUUUCCCAAUGUUACCAAAUGGCACCUCCAAAACACAACCACCAACACAUUGGCUCUUCCUUCUUCUCAUCUUUUUUAUUUCCCAAACCCUACUUUUACAUGCCCCUUUGAAUUUGAAAUCUGAUCAACUCACCCCACAAGCUUGCUUUGAGUGUUUUCCCCACAAUUUUUAAGCCAUUUUAUUCCCCUGUGGUCUUGAUGGUUCUUAUUGAGUACUAAUUAUUAACUUUCUAAAUACAAUGUUUGCACAGGAUAUACAUGAAUUGCCAAAAAAAAAAAAAUCUUUUUUUUUGGGCAGAUGUACAAUAAUUAUGUAACUGUUUGAUGCGAAUUGAUGUUGAUAAUUACAAUGUUGAUCAUACUUAUUUGUCA